rnacentral:rRNA from 1 species
AACGAACGUUGGCGGCGUGGAUUAGGCAUGCAAGUCGCGCGAAUCCCCGCAAGGGGGGAAGCGGCGUAAGGGGCAGUAAUGCGUGGGUACCUACCCGGGGGUUCGGGAUAGCCCGUCGAGAGACGGGGUAAUACCGGAUGACCUCGUGAGAGCAAAGCUCCGGCGCCCUUGGAGGGGCCCACGUGGUAUUAGCUAGUUGGUGGGGUGACGGCCCACCAAGGCGUAGAUGCCUAGCGGGUGUGAGAGCACGACCCGCGCCACUGGCACUGAGACACUGGCCAGACACCUACGGGUGGCUGCAGUCGAGGAUCUUCGGCAAUGGGCGCAAGCCUGACCGAGCGACGCCGCGUGGGCGACGAAGGCCUUCGGGUUGUAAAGCCCUGUCGGGGGGGAGGAAAGCCGAAAGGUUUGACCUAUCCCCGGAGGAAGCACGGGCUAAGUUCGUGCCAGCCGCCGCGGUAACAC